rnacentral:rRNA from 1 species
CCCUUAGAUGUUCUGGGCAGCACGCGCGCUACACUGGUCGAUGCAACGAGUUUCUUUCCUUGGCCGACAGGCCUGGGCAAUCUUUGAACAUCGAUCGUGAUCGGGAUAGAUUCUUGUAAUUUUUGAUCUUAAACGAGGAAUUCCUAGUAAACGCAAGUCAUCAGCUUGCAUUGAUUACGUCCCUGCCCUUUGUACACACCGCCCGUCGCACCUACCGAUUGAAUGGUCCGGUGAAAUCUCCGGACUGGCGUGAGUCGGAGCAAUCUGACAAACGCCGGAAAGUUGAUUAAACCUUACCAUUUAGAGGAAGGUGAAGUCGUAACA